AACGAACGCUGGCGGCAGGCUUAACACAUGCAAGUCGAACGCCCCGCAAGGGGAGUGGCAGACGGGUGAGUAACGCGUGGGAACGUACCUUUCGCCUUCGGAAUAUUCCCGGGAAACUGGGAGCAAUGCCGAAUACGCCGUAUUGGGAAAGAUUUAUCGGCGAAAGAUCGGCCCGCGUUAGAUUAGGUAGUUGGCGGUGUAAUGGACCACCAAGCCUACGAUCUAUAGCUGGUCUGAGAGGAUGAUCAGCCACACUGGGACUGAGACACGGCCCAGACUCCUACGGGAGGCAGCAGUGGGGAAUCUUGGACAAUGGGCGCAAGCCUGAUCCAGCCAUGCCGCGUGAGUGAAGAAGGCCUUAGGGUUGUAAAACUCUUUCGCCGGAGAAGAUAAUGACGGUAUCCGGAGAAGAAGCCCCGGCUAACUUCGUG
rnacentral:rRNA from 1 species